GACAGAGGGUGCAAACGUUGCUCGGAAUUACUGGGCGUAAAGCGCACGUAGGCGGAUAUUUAAGUCAGGGGUGAAAUCCCAGAGCUCAACUCUGGAACUGCCUUUGAUACUGGGUAUCUUGAGUAUGGAAGAGGUAAGUGGAAUUGCGAGUGUAGAGGUGAAAUUCGAUAGAUAUUCGCAGGAACACCAGUGGCGAAGGCGGCUUACUGGUCCAUUACUGACGCUGAGGUGCGAAAGCGUGGGGAGCAAACAGG
rnacentral:rRNA from 1 species